CUUCCACACACACACACACACACACACACACACACACACAGCGUCAGUUGGGGAGACUUUCAUGGAGGUGAACUUGAAACACCCCGGCAGGAACAACAGAAAAGUGGUGAGUGGAACGCCUUGCUUGUUUUCACGAGUUUUUCUUUUUUUUUCUUUUUUUUCUGUGCUUUGAUAACUUUUUUUUACUCUCUUUCUUUCUUUCUUUUAUUAAGGGGGAUGUCUUUGUUAUUUUUCGAUUAUAUUUUUGUUAUGUUUUGUUUCUAUUUUAACCAUUUUUUUCUCUUCUUUUUUUGUUAUUUAUCUUUUCUUUAAUUUUCUGUUACCUCUCUUGUUACCUCCUUUAUUGAACUUCGUCACCUUAUUCAUGUCGCCUUUCACAAUUCACUUCCCUCUCUAUCACCUCAAAUUUACGUUCAUGUUUCCACUUUCUUAUCCUCGCAUUUUUUUUUUCUUAUUUCCUUGUACUUUCAUUCAGUGUUUGUUAUCCUUCAUAUUAUCCAUUUAUCCAGCUAUUUAUUUUAUUUUCUUAUUCAAUGAAACAAAAUACGUACGUUUAUGUGUACGUAUGUGCGUGUACGUGUUUGAUCACUGUUUCGUAAAAAUAUCACGAAAUUUAGUUUGUGUAUUAUUGUUACUUACUUUUGAUUACUUUUUGUUGAUAUUACUGUUUGCAGUGCGCAUGUCGCGUUUUGUUUGUUUCUUACUUCACCCCGGCGCCAGCAGCCAGCACCCAGCAGCCGCCACGCAGGUCAGUUGUCUGUAGUGGCUGCUUCCGCCAGGGUGAGUGUGGUGUGGCGGCCGUGUGACAUGGCCCAUGCUGGUUCCCUGCUGUUCCUUGGCCUACCUUCAUGAUGGACAUGCGCGAGGUGUUAGGGGCGUCCAAGUGGUUCCUAGCAGCUGAUCUCCAGACGGUGACCUUGUCCAGUGACCAGCAGUGCGUGACCUUCGUGGUGCACUUCAUGGGCCCCAGCGCAGGUCGUCUUGAGCUGGACUUAUCCCGCGUGCUGGCUGGCCGCAAUCGGGACCCCCCCACCAUCAUCAUCAGGGGCGUGUCCUGACCCGGACCGCCCCAAGAAGCUGCCCUACAGGACCUGCGGGAGCCUGGAGGAGGAGACACUGCUGGAGGAGUAUAAGAGCGAGUCUUGGGGAUGGGAAGGGAGAGGAGAGUACAAGGUGUAAGGGUAGAUGGGAGCACUGGAAAGGGGAGGGGAGGGGAGGUGAGUAUGGCAGUUGGGGGGAGGAAGGGCAAGAAAAUGGAAGGGAAGGAGAAAAAGGAAAAAGGAAAUGAAAGGGAGGGAAAGUAGGAGGGUGGUGGCAGGGGAUAUGGGUGGUGUUUGGGUAUUUAGUUCAGAGGUUUAGGCUGUUUGCUCAGCGUUUGUUUCCUUUAGGCAUCUCAAAUGUUCCUUUGCAGAGCACAUCCCCAAUCCCUUUGCAGAGGUUUCCUUUUGGUAUCUCAAAUGUUCUUUUGCAGAACAUAUCCCCAAUCCCUUUGCAGAGGUUUCCUUUAGGCAUCUCAAAUGUUCCUUUGCAGAACAUAUCCCCAAUCCCUUUGCAUCCCCAAUCCGUUUGCAGAGGUUUCUUAUCAGGUUUUUUCUUUUGCGGCCAACACCCCGUGGGAUCUCAAGGGCGGUGUUGCCGGAGCUGGCCUCGCCUCCGCCCUGUUGCUGCCUCUGCUUCACCUCAUCGCCUGCGAUAAACCCAUCAACAUCAAGGCAUCUUGGUUUUCGCGUCCAUCCCCGCCCCCCUUAGUUCCUCUCACCCUGCAUAGGGGGCCUGUACAUUAUGUAGAUAGGAGGCUAUAAUUGUGUUAAAUUAUAGAUAUAUUAUGCAAUAAUUAUCUUUAUGCAUAUAUAUAUAUAAAAUGCAAUAUUGUUCGUUAUGCAUAUAUACAAAAUACAAUAAUA